CCCUCCGUCCGUCGUUCCUCCAUUAUUAUACUAAGGUGAUGAAUAAAUAAACGUGCGUGUCCGCGCGCGCUAAAGCAAAUAAAUAAAUCUGUUUUACAAAAAUAAAAAUAAUAAUGAUGAGGGAUAUCAUAUCAUAUCAUAUCAUAUCAUAUCAUAUCACUGCGCAUAAAAUCUUGAUGGCCGUCGCAAGUGCCCUUUCCUCGCUUUUCUGUUGCUCGCCAUUGACCUUUGGGGCUUUUGCUCCUUACCCCCCUCUCCUCCUCUCCCUCCCUCCCUCUCUCUC
rnacentral:lncRNA from 1 species